UACGUAGGGGGCUAGCGUUGUCCGGAAUCAUUGGGCGUAAAGCGCGUGUAGGCGGCCCGGUAAGUCCGCUGUGAAAGUCGGGGGCUCAACCCUGGAAGGCCGGUGGAAACUGUCGGGCUAGAGUCCGGAAGAGGCGAGUGGAAUUCCCGGUGUAGCGGUGAAAUGCGCAGAUAUCGGGAGAAACACCAAUGGCGAAGGCAGCUCGCUGGGACGGUACUGACGCUGAGACGCGAAAGCGUGGGGAGCAAACAGG
rnacentral:rRNA from 1 species